rnacentral:rRNA from 1 species
UACGUAGGGGGCAAGCGUUGUCCGGAUUUAUUGGGCGUAAAGAGCGUGUAGGCGGCCAUACAGGUCCGUUGUGAAAACUGGAGGCUUAACCUCCAGACGUCGAUGGAAACCGUAUGGCUAGAGUCCGGAAGAGGAGAGUGGAAUUCCUGGUGUAGCGGUGAAAUGCGCAGAUAUCAGGAGGAACACCUGCGGUGUAGACGGCUUACUGGACCAUAACUGACGCUGAGGCACGAAAGCGUGGGUAGCAAACAGG